rnacentral:rRNA from 1 species
CCUACGGGCGGCUGCAGUGAGGAAUAUUGGUCAAUGGCCGAGAGGCUGAACCAGCCAAGCCGCGUGAGGGAAGAAUGUCCUAUGGAUUGUAAACCUCUUUUGUCAGGGAGCAAAGUCACCCACGUGUGGGCGUUGGAGAGUACCUGAAGAAAAAGCAUCGGCUAACUCCGUGCCAGCAGCCGCGGUAAUACGGAGGAUGCGAGCGUUAUCCGGAUUUAUUGGGUUUAAAGGGUGCGUAGGCGGGUUGUAAAGUCAGCGGUAAAAUCGUGGAGCUCAACCCCAUCCAGCCGUUGAAACUGAUGGUCUUGAGUGGGCGAGAAGUAUGCGGAAUGCGUGGUGUAGCGGUGAAAUGCAUAGAUAUCACGCAGAACUCCGAUUGCGAAGGCAGCAUACCGGCGCCCGACUGACGCUGAGGCACGAAAGCGUGGGUAUCGAACAGGAUUAGAUACCCGAGUAGUC